CUCUCUCUUCUCCCUGUCUUCUUCUCCCACGCACACAGCCAGCGCGCAGGGAGCUCGCCUCCCUUCCUCCCAUGGCGCCCAGGCCUGCUCCUCCCCUCGGCCAGCCAGGGCGCGGUGGCCCCUGCCCCUGCCCCUUCUUCCUCGCGCACGCUGCAUCUCCUAGCUCGGCCUCGCCAUCGCGCAGCAGCAGACGUCAUCUUCUUCCCUGGACUCCCCACGCCAGCAAUAGGGAGCAUGGCUCCUUCCCUCCAUGGCCGGACCGCCCUCCCCUUGCUGCCGGCGAGCAGCAGCUCCCUGGAUCCAUGGCGCCGGUGAAGCUCGAGCAGUCAAGCUCCCAGCUAUGGCGCCCGCUCCCUGCAGGGAUGCAGUUCCCUUGGCCGACGCCCGGCAGAGCAGCCAUGGCCGAGCUCCCUGGGAGCACGCCGGUGCCCCUGCUCUCCCCUUGGCCGCCAGCAGCCAUGGUCGCUAGCCCCCAGCGAGCUCGGGUUCUUCUCCCUGGCCGCCCUGCUCCCUGUCCACGGCGCCCAGGAAUUCCAACAGCAGCAUCUCCCUUCCCCAAACUGCUCUUGCCAUGGCCGAUUCUUCCCUGCGCCCAGCUCCUCCUCGCCAUAUGCCCGACGCCCCUCGCUGCGCAGCUCCUCCACGGUGCAGCACCGCUGUUCCUGCAGCCCCGGCCCCUCCCCCGGUUUCCUCGCUGCCAGCGCUGCGCGCGUGCCACGUGCUCGACAAAAUGUCCAAGUGGGGUGUUGCGCAGUGAGCAGCACGCCGUGAUGCCCCCCCGGUGUUCGCUGUUUUUGCGCAAUCCCAACAUCGACGCCGUUCACCCCGAGAACCCCGUGUUUUGCGUGGAGAAGGCAAGUCGUUCAACGCUCGUCGGAUGUUCGGAGCGAUGCACAAAUCGGAAUCGCCAUCAUCCUUACAAACACCGAUUGGGUUUGUUUAUGGUGAGCCGAUGACCGAGAGAGGAUCAUCGUGCAAGUGAUGUGGUGCCAAACAACAAGAUGCAGUCGAUGGACGACCCAAGGAAGGAUGGACUUAACCAGUGGAUGCUCGCCAAGCGAGUACCUCCCCUAGCAAACACUAUCUAAGUGCUAAAAAUUAAAGGACCGAGAGAGGAUCAUCGUGCAAGUGAUGUGGUGCCAAACAACAAGAUGCAGUCGAUGGACGACCCAAGGAAGGAUGGACUUAACCAGUGGAUGCUCGCCAAGCGAGUACCUCCCCCAGCAAACACUAUCUAAGUGUUAAAAAUUAAAGGUACUCCUUAGGAUGAUUUGUUGCUGGUGUGACUUGGCCUCCAUCCCUGCCACCGGGAUAGACGACCGAGUGGGUUAUUGCUUCCGCUGGAGAGGACCAGGAGGAGUAGCGUGGCCAGGCUUCGCCAUGUUAUUCGGUUCUUCUCCGUUAUUUAUUUCCGCUGC
rnacentral:misc_RNA from 1 species